GUGGUCAUCACUGAGCAGUCAACACUCAGCAUGGAGAUGAGACUGAGCUGGGUUUUCCUUGUUGCGCUUUUACAAGGUGUCCAAUGUGAGGUGCAGCUGGUGGAGUCGGGGGGAGGCUUGAUGCAUCCUGGAAAUUCCCUGAAACUCUCUUGUGCAGCCUCUGGAUUCACCUUCAGUGGUUACUACAUGCACUGGGUCCGCCAGGCUCCAGGGAAGGGGCUGGAGUGGAUUGGUGUAAUUGAACAUAAAUAUAAUAAUUAUGCAACAGAUUAUGCGGAGUCCGUGAAAGGCAGAUUCACCAUCUCAAGAGACGACUCCAAAAGCAGCCUCUACCUGCAAAUCAACAGCUUAAGAGCCGAGGACACCGCCAUUUAUUACUGUGCUGCAGACACAGAGCGCUCAGGACCAGCAGGGGGCGCACUGUGCACAUGUCAAACCAGCACAUUGCAGGAACAGGUGCAGAUGUAA